CCUACGGGAGGCAGCAGUGAGGAAUAUUGGUCAAUGGCCGGAAGGCUGAACCAGCCAUGCCGCGUGAAGGUCAGUGCCCUAUGGGCGUUAAACUUCUUUUGUGCGGGAGCAAUAAUGGUCACGUGUGGCCAGACGAGAGUACCGUACGAAUAAGCAUCGGCUAACUCCGUGCCAGCAGCCGCGGUAAUACGGGGGAUGCAAGCGUUAUCCGGAUUUAUUGGGUUUAAAGGGCGCGUAGGUGGGCGCUUAAGUCAGGUGUGAAAACUCCGGGCUCAACCUGGAGACUGCACUUGAAACUGGGUGUCUUGAGGGCAGGAGAGGAAAGUGGAAUGCCUAGUGUAGCGGUGAAAUGCGUAGAUAUUAGGAGGAACACCAGUGGCGAAGGCGACUUUCUGGACUGUACCUGACGCUGAGGCGCGAAAGCGUGGGUAGCGAACGGGAUUAGAUACCCCAGUAGUC
rnacentral:rRNA from 1 species